rnacentral:lncRNA from 1 species
GUUCCAAGUGUCCUUACACCCACAACAUUCUUUCUUUUAUUUACUGUCUUGGGUGGAAGAAUAUACUUCGUCUCCUAGUGUCCUUUUGCCAGGAAAGAAAAGCAGGUUUGGCCAGCAGAAAACCUGAUGGUCUUUAUUCCUUCCUUCAUGUUACUCAGGAGAUGAAGAAAAAGGUCAAAACAGCUGUGCCGCUCAGCCGACUCAUCCUGUGCUGGGCUGCGCGCUAUCUCCACGCUUCAAGGGGAGAACUUCGCUUGAGAUGAAAGUAAAUGAGGACCACAUGUUUGAGAGUCACGGACUGGCACUCAGCGAAGAUCCUACGGAUGGAUCUGACUGGCAAGGUCAUCAUCAAGGAGCAGACAGUUGGUUUUUCCCAGGCUUGGGGCGAAGGAUUAAGGCUAAAGAUCACUUCUUCAAACUGACACACCAAGUUAUGGUUGAGCUGUCAGCAGAGGUGACUCAGCGUUGAGUCCGACCGUGAGAGGCUACUCCUGCUUUGUACGUCUAACCUCAGUUCAGGUUGGUCCUGGGGGCAGGGUGAGCUGUGGGGAGGAGGAGGUGUGAGGAGGCAGUUGCAUGCUGGAUAGGGCUUUUCAGGGCUGUGUUUUUCAGAGCCAGCCCAUUUCUGGCAAAAAGUAUUACUCUCUAGGCAAGUGUCUGUUUGCUAUGUUGAUCUAAUACAACAUUAACUUCUGAAACAGAUGCACUCAUUUUGCCAAUUUUCCAAGCUCAAAACAGGAAUGGAGUUAAUAAAGUAACAGAGGCAUUUUGGAUGGUGAAGCUC